AGCGAACGCUGGCGGCAGGCCUAACACAUGCAAGUCGAACGAAGCCUUCGGGCUUAGUGGCGGACGGGUGAGUAACACGUGGGAACGUACCUUUUGGUUCGGAAUAACGCAGAGAAAUUUGCGCUAAUACCGAAUGAGCCCUUAGGGGGAAAGAUUUAUCGCCGAAAGAUCGGCCCCCGUUGGAUUAGGUAGUUGGUGUGGUAAAGGCGCACCAAGCCUACGAUCCAUAGCUGGUCUGAGAGGAUGAUCAGCCACACUGGGACUGAGACCCGGCCCAGACUCCUACGGGAGGCAGCAGUGGGGAAUCUUGCGCAAUGGGCGAAAGCCUGACGCAGCCAUGCCGCGUGAAUGAUGAAGGUCUUAGGAUUGUAAAAUUCUUUUACCAGGGACGAUAAUGACGGUACCUGGAGAAAAAGCCCCGGCUAACUUCGUGCCAGCCGCCGCGGUAACAC
rnacentral:rRNA from 1 species